GGGGAAUAUUGCACAAUGGGGGAAACCCUGAUGCAGCAACGCCGCGUGAGUGAUGAAGGCCUUCGGGUUGUAAAGCUCUGUUUACAGGGACGAUAAUGACGGUACCUGUGGAGGAAGCCACGGCUAACUACGUGCCAGCAGCCGCGGUAAUACGUAGGUGGCAAGCGUUGUCCGGAUUUACUGGGCGUAAAGGGAGCGUAGGCGGAUUUUUAAGUGGGAUGUGAAAUACCCGGGCUCAACUUGGGUGCUGCAUUCCAAACUGGAAGUCUAGAGUGUUGGAGAGGAAAGUGGAAUUCCUAGUGUAGCGGUGAAAUGCGUAGAUAUUAGGAAGAACACCAGUGGCGAAGGCGACUUUCUGGACAAUAACUGACGCUGAGGCUCGAAAGCGUGGGGAGCAAAC
rnacentral:rRNA from 1 species